rnacentral:SRP_RNA from 1 species
GCCAGGUGUGGUGGCUUACACCUGUAAUCCCAGCACUGUGGGAGGCUGAGGCAGGUGGAUCACUUGAGGCCAGGAGUUCAAGACCAGCCUGGCCAACAUGGUGAAACCCUGUCUCUA